rnacentral:rRNA from 1 species
GAAUCCUAAGGUGAGCGAGAGAACUCUCGUUAAGGAACUCGGCAAAAUGACCCCGUAACUUCGGGAGAAGGGGUGCUCUAUUAGGGUGCAAGCCCGAGAGAGCCGCAGUGAAUAGGCCCAGGCGACUGUUUAGCAAAAACACAGGUCUCUGCAAAACCGUAAGGUGACGUAUAGGGGCUGACGCCUGCCCGGUGCUGGAAGGUUAAGAGGAGUGCUUAGCUUCGGCGAAGGUACGAAUUGAAGCCCCAGUAAACGGCGGCCGUAACUAUAACGGUCCUAAGGUAGCGAAAUUCCUUGUCGGGUAAGUUCCGACCCGCACGAAAGGCGCAACGAUCUGGGCACUGUCUCAACGAGAGACUCGGUGAAAUUAUAGUACCUGUGAAGAUGCAGGUUACCCGCGACAGGACGGAAAGACCCCGUGGAGCUUUACUGCAACCUGAUAUGGAAUGUUUGUACCGCUUGUACAGGAUAGGUAGGAGCCGAAGAGACGUGUGCGCUAGCAUACGAGGAGGCAAUGGUGGGAUACUACCCUGGCUGUAUGACCAUUCUAACCCGCCACGCUUAGCGCGUGGGGAGACAGUGUCAGGUGGGCAGUUUGACUGGGGCGGUCGCCUCCUAAAGAGUAACGGAGGCGCCCAAAGGUUCCCUCAGAAUGGAUGGAA